rnacentral:misc_RNA from 1 species
UGCAGUAAUAAGGACACCAGCCCAGAGUGGUAAAACCCCACGACUGAGUAUCUUAAUUGCAAUGGCACUCCCUAUCACCUCCUGAAUAUCGGCUCCAAUCAGAGCUACCUCAGCCAUGAACCACAGUAGAAGCCCAGCCCAUCUAGGAUACUCCUCCCGGCAAAGCUCCGCCAAGUGCCGUCCUGUUGCAACGCCAAUUCUGGCCGAAAGUAACUGGAUCAUCAAACCCAUAACAGUAGCCCAUAACAACAGCCAUAGAAGAGAGUAACCCGCAAUUGCCCCAGCUUGCAGAUCCCCCUCCAAAUUCCCCGGAUCCAAAAAAGCUAUACUCAUUAAGAAUCCAGGACCCGUGAACUGCCAUAGCUUCUUCCACGAGAAUGGAGGCACCGUGCUAUAAUCAACACCGUCGAUCGGUACUGAAUCGAAUUCAACGACGUGGAUCUUCUCCCCAGAUCCGUACACAAAUUCUUCUUCGCCGUCAUCGGCAUCGCCGUUAAUUAACGGCGAGGUUGACUGUGGCAGCGGAGCGGUAAGAAGGUGGCGAGAUUCUUCCUCUUUGGAAUCUGGGGAGGUAUUCUCUUGCUGUUGAGGGGAGCUCAUUGUCUCAUUGUAACAGUAACCGGAAUUCCUCAGUUCAGGUAAUCCUUUGUUCGUAAUAGUUAUAAAAGGAGGCUUAUGUUAGAGAAAAGGUGGCGGCGGCGGCGGUUGCGGUUGCGCUGACGGUGGUUGUCGGCGGUG